UGGCUCAUGGCUUAGUGGGUAGAGUAUGAGACUCUUAAUCUAAGGUCAUGAGUUUGAGCCCCACGUUGGGCAAA